GGUAGAGUGGGAACAGAACUGCUGUGAUCCUGAUAUAUGUGCGUAUGGAUCUUGUGUCCCCUAGGAGCAGAGUACAAAACCUCUCUGUAACAGCAAGGGACAGGAGGAGAAUUUGACCUGACAGUUAAGGAAUAACUUGCCGCCUUCAGGGGCCUGCCCUCUUACCACUCUGGGGAAUGUCCAGUUGACAGACAGACUGAGAAAAGGCACUGGGGGACUGUGCCACCAAAUGCCUGAAGACCUGUCACAAUGCUAAGUAUGACCUUGUGCUGUCUCUCAGCUGCUGCUGUAGGACCUUGUGUUGUCUCUCAGCUGCUGCUGUUGCUGCUUACAGCAAGAGUUGGUGUGUGUGUGUGUGUGUACAUAUCUCUGUGCGUGACUAUAUGCGUGUGUUUGUUUGCUCAUACUGGCAGCUGCUCAGGCAGCGUACAGCUUAACUCAGAAGUGUCCUAAAGCAGUGUAAAGGAUGGACACUGUACCAGGUGUGCUUCUGUGCAUGAAAGUGUUUAAGCAUAUUUAUGUAUGAAUACCUAUUUUUAGCCUUAACUUUCUCUCAUGUAAAGUGCUGAAUGGUGCUUUGAGGUUGUUGUAAUUCAACGUAUUAAAUGACAGGCCGCACCAGAGUCGUAUAAAUGGAGAGUUGCGCUUUCAAUCUGAACGUUCCAAGAGUGCCACUUUCUCCUCCAUAGCCGUUGCUAAGUGAUAAUUGACGCUUCGACGUUGUGCUGUUUAUUUCUGAUAUUUUUCAAAACCAAUGAAGAUGCCCAGUCUAAACAGAUAUGCACUUUGUUGACACCACAACACAGGAGACUUGGAUGCACAUUAAUUAGCGAUUCAGUAAUAACGUCUGUUAAAUUCGCUAUUCUGUUUUGCUUGUUUACAGCACGUAAUUACAUAGGGAAUUGUCGUAGCCGCUCUCGUAUUGUUAUAUCAGCAACAUUUCAAGAAUAAAGGAGCAAACAUGGCGGUCUGCCUACCCAUGUCAUAGACGCAAACUCGGUCUCAACCUUUAAGUCUUUACUGAAGACUCAUCUCUUCAGUGGGUCAUAUGAUAGAGUGUAGUCUGGCCCAGGAGUGGGAAGGU